rnacentral:rRNA from 1 species
UACAUGGGGUGCAAACGUUGCUCGGAUUUAUUGGGCGUAAAGCGCGCGUAGGCGGUUAUCUAAGUCGGAUGUGAAAGCCCUCGGCUUAACUGAGGAAGUGCACCCGAAACUGGAUAGCUAGAGUACGAAAGAGGGUCGCGGAAUUCCCGGUGUAGAGGUGAAAUUCGUAGAUAUCGGGAGGAACACCGGUGGCGAAGGCGCCGCUCUGGGCCGAAACUGACGCUGAGGAGCGAAAGCAUGGGUAGCAAACAGG